rnacentral:rRNA from 1 species
GAUGAACGCUGGCGGCGUGCCUAAUACAUGCAAGUCGAGCGAAUGGAUUAAGAGCUUGCUCUUAUGAAGUUAGCGGCGGACGGGUGAGUAACACGUGGGUAACCUGCCCAUAAGACUGGGAUAACUCCGGGAAACCGGGGCUAAUACCGGAUAAUAUUUUGAACUGCAUGGUUCAAAAUUGAAAGGCGGCUUCGGCUGUCACUUAUGGAUGGACCCGCGUCGCAUUAGCUAGUUGGUGAGGUAACGGCUCACCAAGGCAACGAUGCGUAGCCGACCUGAGAGGGUGAUCGGCCACACUGGGACUGAGACACGGCCCAGACUCCUACGGGAGGCAGCAGUAGGGAAUCUUCCGCAAUGGACGAAAGUCUGACGGAGCAACGCCGCGUGAGUGAUGAAGGCUUUCGGGUCGUAAAACUCUGUUGUUAGGGAAGAACAAGUGCUAGUUGAAUAAGCUGGCACCUUGACGGUACCUAACCAGAAAGCCACGGCUAACUACGUGCCAGCCGCCGCCGUAA